UACGAAGGGUGCAAACGUUGCUCGGAAUUAUUGGGCGUAAAGCGCACGUAGGCGGCUUAGCAAGUCGGAAGUGAAAAGCCCUCGGCUCAACCAAGGAAGUGCUUUCGAAACUGCUGAGCUUGAGUACUUAAGAGGAUCGCGGAAUUCCCGGUGUAGAGGUGAAAUUCGUAGAUAUCGGGAGGAACACCAGUGGCGAAGGCGGCGAUCUGGGGAAGAUACUGACGCUGAGGUGCGAAAGCGUGGGGAGCAAACAGG
rnacentral:rRNA from 1 species